AUACGGAGGAUCCAAGCGUUAUCCGGAAUCAUUGGGUUUAAAGGGUCCGUAGGCGGGCAGCUAAGUCAGUGGUGAAAUUCUGCAGCUCAACUGUAGAACUGCCAUUGAUACUGGUUGUCUUGAAUCGUUGUGAAGUGGCUAGAAUAUGUAGUGUAGCGGUGAAGUGCUUAGAUAUUACAUAGAAUACCGAUUGCGAAGGCAGGUCACUAACAACGUAUUGACGCUGAUGGACGAAAGCGUGGGGAGCGAACAGGAUUAGAAACCCUUGUAGUCC
rnacentral:rRNA from 1 species